UCACCUCUUCGUGCUUACCUCUCCCGAAGUCGUCGAUCCACAUUGAGAGCUCGACGGUCGUCUCAGCACUCGAUUGUCGACGCCAUGUCGCUAGACGAGUCUCCGAUUUCCUCUACUCCGUAUCAAAGGUCUCAUCUAUAGUGUCUCUCUUAGAAACACCGCUUUGCGUAAGGGAUCUUUGGUUGGGUGAGGAGAUUUGAGCAUCGGCGAUGCUAGGGUUGAAUCACCAGUUCUAGUGCUCGAUCUUGGGAGAGUACUUGCACUCCAAACGGCUGUUUCAUCUUCCCAAGCCCUAAAGCCGAGCUUACUCCCUUUGCCAUUUGUGGUGGUUCCCGUCACCGAGGUAGGAUAAGUGUCUCACUAUAAGGGACUCGGUCAUAAAUCUCCAGCAGCAGAAACCACCGGCGGGGAUUCGCAGCGGUUGUUUUUCAAUCGUGAAUCAUUAGCUUUGUAGAAGCUCUGGUUGUUGAUCGGUGGCAGCAGGCAUCACCAAUGUGCUUGUGCUGGCAAUUUCACCUCCUAGCAGUGGGUCAAUAAAGGGCUUUGAUUGAGGUGGGCAUCGUGACGAAGGUGACAUUGAUUUGGACUACAUUUAAAGAUAGCAGGUAAAGGAUUUAUGGAGUCGCUUGGAGGUCCUGUUCUCCAGUCCCAUGUCACAUUCGAGGACGAUAUUCUGGUUUCAAUUUCUUACACUAUCUUGUUUUGGAUUUGUGAUCUUGGCAUUGUAAUAGUUUGCUGUGAACUUGGAGUUUUGUCAUGUGGUAUUCUUGUAUUUGGUUUAGUGAUGUUGUGUCAAGCCGAGCCGGCUCACAGUUAGUUGUUUUGUUUGUGUCAUGUUCGUUGUUU